rnacentral:lncRNA from 1 species
CUCCUCCUAGGAGCACCUAGGGACACGCUCCUGCUUUCAGGCUGGCUUGGGAGAAGUGGGACUUUGCCUUUUGGUGUUUUCCUCCUUAAAGGAUUUUGUUUUCAAGGGUGAGAGUGGGAAGAGAGGCCGGAAUGGACUUGCUGGACCUGCAGGACCAUCAGGAUCCCCAGGAAAAGAGGGGAUUCCUGGGACACCUGGGCCCAAAGGCAGCAAGGGAGAAACUGGGAUUGGAGCUGUUGGUCCAAGAGGUCCCCGAGGAUUGCCAGGUUCUCAAGGUGAUGAGGGCAUCAUGGGAGUCCAGGGCCCCAUUGGUAUGAUGGUGAGUAUAAAUGUAGCACUGAAUUGAUUUCACAGUAUGGACAAUUUCAGGGCGGCUUGAUGUUUA